UACGAAGGGGGCUAGCGUUGCUCGGAAUCACUGGGCGUAAAGGGUGCGUAGGCGGGUCUUUAAGUCAGGGGUGAAAUCCUGGAGCUCAACUCCAGAACUGCCUUUGAUACUGGGGAUCUCGAGUCCGGGGGAGGUGAGUGGAACUGCGAGUGUAGAGGUGAAAUUCGUAGAUAUUCGGAGGAACACCAGUGGCGAAGGCGG
rnacentral:rRNA from 1 species